rnacentral:rRNA from 1 species
AUUGAACGCUGGCGGCAUGCCUUACACAUGCAAGUCGAACGUGAAAGCGGGGCAACCCGCAAGUAGAGUGGCGACGGGUGAGUAAUACAUCGGAACGUGUCCAGUAAUGGGGGAUAACCUAGCGAAAGUUAGGCUAAUACCGCAUACGAUCUGCGGAUGAAAGCGGGGGAUGCGGCACUAAAGGCUUUUGGCGAAGGUGGCCAAAGGUGAGUCAAGAGCUUUUAGUGCUGCACCUCGCGUUAUUGGAGCGGCUGAUGUCUGAUUAGCUAGUUGGUGAGGUAAAGGCUUACCAAGGCGACGAUCAGUAGCUGGUCUGAGAGGACGGCCAGCCACACUGGGACUGAGACACGGCCC